rnacentral:rRNA from 1 species
CGGACGGGUGAGUAACGCGUGGGUAACCUGCCUCAUACAGGGGGAUAACAGUUAGAAAUGGCUGCUAAUACCGCAUAAGACCACAGUACUGCAUGGUACAGUGGUAAAAACUCCGGUGGUAUGAGAUGGACCCGCGUCUGAUUAGGUAGUUGGUGAGGUAACGGCCCACCAAGCCGACGAUCAGUAGCCGACCUGAGAGGGUGACCGGCCACACUGGGACUGAGACACGGCCCAG